rnacentral:rRNA from 1 species
UACGAAGGGGGCUAGCGUUGUUCGGAAUUACUGGGCGUAAAGCGCACGCAGGCGGUCUGUUAAGUUUGACGUGAAAGCUCCCGGCUUAACUGGGAGAGGUCGUUGAAGACUGGCAGACUUGAGGCGAUGAGAGGGGUGUAGAAUUCCCGGUGUAGUGGUGGAAUGCGUAGAUAUCGGGGGGAAUACCAGUGGCGAAAGCGGCACCCUAGCGUUAGCCUGACGCUCAUGUGCGAAAGCGUGGGGAGCGAACGGG